CCCCGGGCGCGGGGACAGUCGGCGCAGGGCGCCCGUCGGAGUGUGAGGGGUCAGGCGCCACCCGGCCUGUCGCCGGAUCCGGUUACUCCGCGGGGAGUGCGUGUCCACUCGUACUUGCCCUCCCCAGCCCGGCCGGAGACGACAACCAGCGCGCGUGGGGCUUAAGGGCCAGGCCGCCAUGGACCGGGUCCGGGCCCGGGUUACGAGAGUCGCCAUGCGACCAGGCAGCUUCCUGCGUCAGGUCAACGGAUGCUCCCUCGUGGCGUCUGAGACCCUCGCCCCCAAAAGUUUAUUAAACAAACAGUGGAGGGACCUCGAGAAUCCUUAAAUCCAAGCUAGCGCUCCUCCGAGUGAGGCGAAGCGAGGCCGGGACACAAGCCAUGGAGGGGCCGCACCUGGUCCCUCCGGCACCUGCGCCGGGGUGAUGUGAGCCCCAGCACCGGGCUCUGCCAGGAUCCUGGCCGCCCCGGGCGGUCCGUCUAAAGCACCCGUCACGGUUCGCAUUUGCACAUUUAUUAUUGUGAGAGCGCUGGCUAAUGCUCGCCUCGCCCCCCAGACUCCAUGAGCACAGGGGCUGUAGCAACCUUGUGUAGGGAGCAUGUGGCAGCUGUGGAACGACUGAAUAAUUGAAUACAUCUCCGUUGCACAAAAGAGGAAGCAGAUUCAGAAGGGAGGUGACUGGGACACCAUCGCAGCAGCAGCUUCCGGGAAAACAGGGAUGGAUCCUAAGACCCUGACCCCACAGGGCUCAGCAAGUGGUGAUGCUGUGACGGGAGCCCAGCUUUGCUUGGAGACGGGCAAGCUGAACUGCUGGCCAAAUUCUGGAAAACAUUGUAGGUCUGUAAAAACUUCAGUUUCAAUCCACUGGGUAUAAACUCAAUGUCAGCCAAAGCCAGGCAGAUAUGGGAAGGGAGCCGGGAGUUCACGCUGGCCGAAUGGCGUGGCAGUUAGGCCUCGUGAUGGAAAACCCAGUUGGGGCUUAAAUCAAUGAAGGGUGCCUUGUCUCAAACAUGAAGACAGCCCAGAACUGGCACCGGCUCGGCCGUGCCUCCAGGGCCGGGCUUCCUUCCAUCUUCCCACCCCACCUCCUUAGCACAUGGCUUUUGUCCUAAAGACCGCUGAUGCGGCUCCAGGCACAGGCCCCCGUUCUGGGCUGGAAGGGGGAAGCCGAGCAUCCCCUGCAAGACCUCACGUGGGACAGCACAUCACACACAAGCCGCUGGUCGGCGGGGGGCUCCCCCACAACCCAUGAGCCAGGACGCAGUCUCGGGGCCACUUCCAGCAGCUGCAAGGGAGUCUGGGAACUUGAGCUCAGGGGGGCAAGGGGCAGAACGAGUGGGAGCGGCCAAUUCUCCAGGCCCACGAAGAACCAUGCUUGCCUCUGUUGAUCUGAGCAGGCACCCCUCCCGUCUAGCACUUGUGUCCCUCCCAUGUUGAAAGACACGGCUUCCGGAAACACAGCCACUCAGGCGUGCAAAGGGGUAACGAGGUGUGCUUCGUGCCAGGCAGCUGUUGAGGGUGGGUGGCACUUCAAAUCCUGAAGAGCUCACGUGGCAAGGCACCGGCCAGUCUGAUCAGAUGCCCAGCUGAUCAAAACAUACACCCAACAUACAUCCCCAAGGAUGCCUGCUGGCGGCCGGGAAGCCACAGCGGCAGACAGCAGCUGUGCCCGUAGGCGGCUGGGAAAUCUCUUACCUUCCCUUGAGGUCUAAUUUUGCCAUGGCGGGCGAAUUUUUAGAUGAUGCUGUGUAGGGCACAGAAAGCCCGUUUGUGGCGCUGGUGUAUCAUCCCUCAUCUUUGGGUCAAGCCGUGGCAGAUGUAGGACUCACUGGCUGGUGGGGGGCCGGGGGGCAGGGGGGGGCAGCAGUGCGUGCCGGCCGCUCUCCAUGGUCCUGGACAGAGGGAUCCUUCCUGGGUGCUCAGGAAUCUCAGCCCGGGAGAGAGACAGGGGUUUGAGGGAAGGAAAAAUAGGGACGGGGUGGAGGGAGGGGCUCCCUGGGGAGAGAGGCUGCUGAGAACGAAGUCGAUUUUAAAUGAAUCGAAGCCUGCCGGGUAUGAAAGGAGACUGAGGGCGAUUUUUUUUGGGCCCCGAGUUGAGACAAGGCCACGUAAGUGUCCCCACGUGGUCGGGAAGAAUCUGAGUGGCAUUUGCCUCAUUAAAGUCACUUUUCUCCAUUUCUUA